rnacentral:lncRNA from 10 species
UGCCUUUUACUGCUUAGUGGCAAAUGUUCCUAGAUGACCAUGGGAAUCAAUGAGCAGAAAGCACUGUAUUGAUGACUGGAAAUCCUUACUGAGAGACACACUCAUCUUCACUGGAGAGCUUGUUUUGAGUGCUCGGUAGCUGCACAUCCUGUGAACAGGUUGCACACACAGGAAUCUCAACAUUAUGAAUAACUGCAAGCAGGAUGACACCGGGAUCCUCUUCUCUCCCUCCCAAUGCCUGCAGUGGAUAUCUGGACUACAUAUGCAGUGGGAGAGCUGGAAGAGCCUGUUACAAACCUCAGCCCAUUAGCAUCUCCCAGCUCUGUCUUUUGAGAAGAUGACUGAGAGGAAGGUGGUAUUGAGAAAACAAAGCAUCCAGCCUUUGUGAAGCUGAGCCUUAAGGUCCCCUCUCCAGCCCUGGCUGACCCCAGACCCUCGUUUUCUUCUCUGGCAUCCAACUUCAAGGAUUGGCCUGUUUCCCUUUAACUAUAGCUACCACUCAGCUCACUCGCUGAAGAAGGCAGAGCCCACGCCUCCUGGCACAGUUUCCCUUCGGCUACCUAAGGCAAGCGAAUGAGUCUUUUUCAUCGUAAUGAGCUGUAUUUCCCUCACUAUGGAACAACAGGGGCUAAACAAAUUAAUAAAUAUGCUCAGC